UACGGAGGUGGCAAGCGUUGUCCGGAAUUAUUGGGCGUAAAGAGCUCGUAGGCGGUCUGUCGCGUCGGAAGUGAAAACCUGGGGCUUAACCCCGGGCCUGCUUUCGAUACGGGCAGACUAGAGUUCGGCAGGGGAGACUGGAAUUCCUGGUGUAGCGGUGAAAUGCGCAGAUAUCAGGAGGAACACCGGUGGCGAAGGCGGGUCUCUGGGCCGAUACUGACGCUGAGGAGCGAAAGCGUGGGGAGCGAACAGG
rnacentral:rRNA from 1 species